rnacentral:misc_RNA from 1 species
AAGAACUCGCAGACGAGGAGUAAAACGAGAUUGAUUGUAGCAGUGGCCGCAAAUUAAGUUGCGGAUUGAUAAACGUUAUUUGAGACAAUUAUAAAAUAUUAAUGGAUGUCGUACAGAACGUCAACUGAAACUCCAAGCUAAGAAUAACCACUUGAGCUGAGAAAAAGUGGAGAUUGUGACCACGGACGCUAUCUGCGACGUCGCCGACACACCAGGAGCUGCAAAAUUACAAUCGCCGUAAGAGUGUUGAGUCGUGUGUCAUUGAGAAAAAUUUAAGUAAAAGUAUAAGCGACCUUUUUAUUUCGAAGUGAAGAAGAACCCAAGGAAAGUAAAAAAGUGAUGCAGAUGACGUUUUCAUACUACAAAAAUAACAACUUGGGAAGUAUAUUUUACUUUCACUUCAUUUAUAGAAUAAUUGUAUUGCAAUCACAGUUGUCUGAAUGGUUACAUAGAGGAUCGCUCUCGGGAUGUCUACUCUUCGUAAUUAAAAUAUUACAUCUUGCAUCCAUGUCCAGCAGUGGACUGCGAUAGACUGAACUGACUGACUGACGGACACAGCCCGAGCCUGUCGUGCAAAUUACAAUAGGGAUCACUAUCGCGAUGUCUUUUCGUAGUUAUUUAAAUAUUAUAAUUUGCAUCAAUGAGACAAUUACUUUGUAGAUUAACUUAUCGCACUAAUUGAAAUAGAAUGGUUACUAUAUAAUUGCAAUGAAACAACCAACGCAUUUAUCGUAAUGCG